AAAAAGUUUUAUUUUAGCUUAAAAUUUAAUUAUAUGAUAUUUAUAUAUGUAAAUUUUUGUGUAAAUUAUAUUUAAAUAAUAUAAUUUGUAUUUUGCAGUAUAAAGUUUUAAAAAUUAAGGAUUUUUAGAUUUAGAUAUUUAUUUAAAUAUGGACAAAGUUUGUGCCAGCAGUUGCGGUUAUACAAACUAUAUGAAUUAAAUUUAUUUAAUUUAAUUAAAUUGAUUUAUUUAAUUUAUCAAUAAAUUUAUUAAGUGAAAUUUUAAAUUUAAAAUAAAUUAAUAAAAAUAUAUUGAAGUUAAGAAAUUUAAUAUUAGACUAGGAUUAGAUACCCUAUUAUUUUAAAUGUAAUUAAUAUAAUUAAAAUUACUAUGAGUGAUGAUCUUUAAAAUUAAAAAUUUUGGCGGUAUUUUAGUCUUUUCAGAGGAACCUGUUUUAUAAUUGAUAGUCCACGAUUUAUUAUACUUUAUUUUUAAAUUUAUAUAUCGUCGUAGUUUGAAUAUUUUAUUAGAAUUUUAAUGUUCAAUAAAUUUAAUUAAAUGUGAAUUCAGAUCAAGAUGUAGUUAAUAAUAAAGUAAAAAUGGGUUACAUUUAGUUUAUUAAUGGUUUAUUAAUUGAAAAUUAAUAAUAAAUUGGAUUUGAAAGUAAUUUUAUAUAAUUAUAUAAAAUGAUUAUGCUCUAAAAUAUGCACAUAUCGCCCGUCGCUUUCAUUAUAAAAUGAAAUAAGUCGUAACAAAGUAGUCUUAUUGGAAAAUGAGUCUAGAAUGAU
rnacentral:ncRNA from 1 species